UAAAGAAUUUCGGUAUGGGAUGGGGAUGCGUUCCAUUAGUUAGUUGGCGGGGUAACGGCCCACCAAGACAACGAUGGAUAGGGGUUCUGAGAGGAAGGUCCCCCACAUUGGAACUGAGACACGGUCCAAACUCCUACGGGAGGCAGCAGUGAGGAAUAUUGGUCAAUGGACGAGAGUCUGAACCAGCCAAGUAGCGUGAAGGAUGACUGCCCUAUGGGUUGUAAACUUCUUUUAUAUGGGAAUAAAACGUUCCACGUGUGGAAUUUUGUAUGUACCAUAUGAAUAAGGAUCGGCUAACUCCGUGCCAGCAGCCGCGGUAAUACGGAGGAUCCGAGCGUUAUCCGGAUUUAUUGGGUUUAAAGGGAGCGUAGGUGGAUUGUUAAGUCAGUUGUGAAAGUUUGCGGCUCAACCGUAAAAUUGCAGUUGAAACUGGCAGUCUUGAGUACAGUAGAGGUGGGCGGAAUUCGUGGUGUAGCGGUGAAAUGCUUAGAUAUCACGAAGAACUCCGAUUGCGAAGGCAGCUCACUGGACUGCAACUGACACUGAGGCUCGAAAGUGUGGGUAUCAAACAGGAUUAGAUACCCUGGUAGUCCACAC
rnacentral:rRNA from 1 species